UCCUGGUUAGCUCAGAUGGUAGAGCGAUCGCCCCAAGAAGGCAUUGGUCCUGGGUUCGAUCCCCAGACCAGGAA